CAGAAGUCUCCUCAUUAACAUAAACCCCGCUGUGAUGGACCAGAUGUCAAGUGGAGCCUUUUUCAGUAGUGAAAUAUGCACCGAGGGAAGACACAGGGAGAUUUGACAGCAAAGAGAAGAGAAGGAAACAUGAAGACGGAGCAGAGAGAUUUGAAGAUGCUGCCUUUGAAGACUGAAGUGAAGCCAAAGAAUGCUGGCAACCACCUGACGCUGAAAAAGGCAUGGAAUGAAUUCUCCCCAUAGGCCUCUCAAAAGAUGGAGGUUGUGCUGAUGCCUUGAUUUCACUCCUGUGAUACUGAUUUUGGACUCUGG
rnacentral:lncRNA from 1 species